GCAGAAGAAUGAUAUAUAGAGAUUUUAAAUUAAAAGUACAAAUACAGAAAUAGUUAUAGACCGUGCCCAACUACUCUUGAUGUAAAGGUCCGACCGCAGCCACAUUAAUUGUGCUAAUCUUAAGUUGAACUUGGUCAUUUUUUUUCCUUCCACAAACAAAGCUGAAAAAGAUUAGGAUUUAUGUAAGAUCUACGUAUAUACUAUCCUCAAGCCCCACUAUAUAGGAUUGCAAUAUUGGAUAUGUUAUUGUUGUUGUUAAACAAAACCGAAAAGGAAAAAAGAAAGGCCGAAAAGAAAAGACAAUAAGGAAUAACACACAACAUCUAGCAGAAUUCAUGUGGAUCCCUUAAUUAGGAGGUAUCGCAUGCGUUGGUGUGUAAAAUAGCGUCAUAGCUACAAUGCCUACAGAACCAGCCAUCGGUGCAGUCAUGAUCAGAGCGACAUUUUCUGAAGCAAGUUACUCCACUGGGAUGAGCUGCUAGUUUCAUUUCCAGCCCUCCUAUAUCAUGCACCACCUCUCUCAAACCAACUACUUUUGGAGCCAAAUAAACUGUAAACGUAGUAGUAUUUCAUAGAAAAGACAAAUAUCAUUAUCAAUGUAUCGUUAUUCUCAAACGUAUCCAAAAAGGCACAUAGAUAUAUAUUCCAUGCUUAAUAUGUACUAAAAGAAAAUGCCAGAGACAAUCAAGAAAGAAAUAAUUAAUGGCUGCAAUAAUGUGGGGUGCAAUGAUUUAUUAUACAUGGUAAGCCAGGACUGUAAAUACCAAUUUUGUCAUAGCACAUAUUCAGAGAGAGACAGGGCCGGCUUUUAGGUAAAGAAUUUUUAUCUCCCAAAGGUUAACACUUUAUUCAUUUAAAAUAAAUAUUAUUUUAAAAUAUUAUAUUCUAUAGAUACCUUUUAAUGUUUGUAGUAAAAUAUUUAGUUUUGGUUACCUCCUAUCCCUAAGCCGCUAAAUACGUUAUUCAGUUCACUAUUUUCUUUCUCUCUUUACUUUGAUACAUGCUAUUUUCUUCUCUCAUUCCUUGAAAACACGAUGAUCAAUCUCAAAAUUCCUCUCACCCACAUCACCUACCACUAGUUAAAAGCUCCCCACGCUCUCUCCUCCCUCCUGCACUUUCAGACGACCCUUCAUAUCUUCAACAAAAGGGAAGGGAGGUCCAAAAUACAGAAAUAGAGAGAAAAAGAGAGAGGACGUAGUAGAUUUCGAUUCAUAUAAAGAUUCAUCUUCAUUAUUAUUUAGUAAAUGGAUGAAGUAUCAGAGUCAACAUUAAAACUUGGAGACAGUGAAUUUGAGUUAGAGGAAGACAAUAUGAGGGACGAAAAUCUGCAGGGUUUAUGGUUUUUGUGAUGAAAAGAGUUUUUAGGUCUUGGUUUUUACGCUGUAUUUUCAUGUAUUUUAUUGUAUUCAUUAUCUUUUUUUCAUUGUAAAUUAAUGUAUCUCGCUGUAUUUUUAUGUAUUUUAUUGUAUUUACUGUCUUUUUUUUAUUAUACUUCAAUGUAUCUCACUGUUUUCUAUAUAUUUCAUUGUAUUCGUUGUCUCGCUAUAUGCCAUGAAUGUAUUCAUAUAUUUUUUUAAUUAAUAUAAUUUAUGUAUUUAGAUGUAUUAUAUAAUUUCUCUAAAGAUUGCUAUAUUUUUGGGUAUUUUUCAGUUGAGAAUCUUUUUUACAACUGAAAAUAUAAAAUCUGUGUAUUAUAAUUGAGUUUGUUGAGUUAUAUUAAGAGUCUAUUAUGUUAAUUGGUUCACUUUUCGUUUAAAAAAAAGUGUAUCCCUAUUUCAUUUCGUGAAUAUAGUUGAAUACAAUAAUUUGUCUAACUAUAAUCCCAUGUUUCACGCCAUGAAUACUACCGAAUACAACAACCGAUUAGCUGAAUUUCCCUAAUUCACGUUGAUUUUUGCUAAUGUAUUCAUGAAUACAAUAGCUUGAAUACAUCGUAUAACAACAUAAAACGUAUCUACAAUCCGUAAUAUAGCAAAUGAUAUCCAUAGAUAGCUAAUUACUACUAAACAAUCGUGCUUUAUGAAAAUUUCUCUUUGAAUAACGCCUCUAGAGCCCAAGUUUUAGGCCCGCAAUUUUAGAGGCCCCCAUUUUUUACCUUAUAAUUUUUUAAUUAAGUAAUUUUACUAUUAUUAUAUAUUUUGGUAAAAAUAAAAUAAUUCUUUUGUUUCUUAAAAAUGGGCUCCUGACGUAUAAAUGCAAAAUUUAUUGAAGGAAUCAAGUAAUUAUUCUUUUUUCUUUAGUCUUUCUCUCGUUAAAUAUUGUAUAAACCAUAUACAAUUUCCUUUUUUUUAAUGUUCUUAUUUUUUCACCAAACAUUAUUACUAUUAUAUUUUUUUUUUGUGCCUCCAAGAAAUCAUAUUAUUCUAUAUUUUUCGUCACUCAAGCUAAAUUCUAUCAGAAGUAUAUUGAAAGAAACAUAUACUUAUUUUUACAUCAAAAUAAUUAAUCAAGUUCUUUUAUUUCAACUUUUUAGUACUAGUUUUCAUCUACAUUUGUUUUAUACAUACUCAUUUAUCAUCCUGUUAGUAUUUAUUAAAUUUAAAUAUGCCAAAUAUAAAGUAUGAAUUCAGUUAUUCAAGACUUAAGGGGAAAAAAGUUGAAUCUUUGAUACAAUCCCAAAAGAAGAAAUAAUAGUACUCUAAUUGAUAUACACAAUUCAAUAAAAAGAGUUGAUUCAUUGUCAAAUGUGUAUAUUGCAUAUAGAAUAAUGGUAGCAGUUCCUGUAUCAGUUGUCUCAGGUCAUCCCCGAUCAUAAACUAGAAACUUGAAAAAAGUUUUUAAGUUAAAAUUGAUAAAAUCUUACUUAAGAUGAACCAUGGAACGGGAGAUUGAAUGGAUUAACUAUAUUGUCAAUUGAAAAUAAUAAUUAGAAGAAAUUAAUUAUAAAUUAAAUAUUCAUAUUUUGCAUCUGAAAAAGCUAGAAAAUUAGAUUUCAAAUAAAUAAUAUAUAUGAAAAUUAUUUUUUUAUUAUAAAAAUAUAAUUAAGGCCUCUUAUGGAAGUUUUUCUUUAGGCACCCAAUGAUAUUGAGCAGCCCCUACAGAGAGAUUAGGGAAAAGAUAGAUUUACUGCACUAUUCAAAAAGAGCCUAUAUGCCAAUGUUUGAUUCAAAGAUUAUGUAAUUAGUUUGAUUGUUCUUUGCCAGUUUGAGGUCUAGAAGUUUUGUUGUUAAUGGUAAUAUUCACAUAUUAUUACCAGGGGUUGACCUAUGUUGGGGAAUGGGGGUCAUUUCGGCAAAAAGACUGUAUAUAUAUAUUUCUUUAUAUACAGUAAGGACCCCUCAAAUAUUUUGUGCGGCCCCUUAAAAUCACAUAAUCUGGACCGAGGAGCUGGUUUUGUAGAAGUGCUUGAAGUACCUUCACUCUCUUGAUGACCCAGGUUUGUAUUCAGGUUCCUACAAUGCAUUAUUUUUUUUUAUUCUUAAAGUGGUGUUCGGUAAUGCUCAAAUCCUGGACUUGUCUCUAGUUAUUACCAAACAAUAUGUACUAAAAUACUAAACAUGUGUACAUUACCAAACAAUAUGUACUAAAAUAUUAAACAUGUGUAAAUGCAACAUAAAGAAAGCAAGCGAGAGGUAGAAAAAGGAUCAUUUACCAAAAGCUAUCAGUAGGGCACCAAUGAAAUAGAAACUAUAAUUGCGAGCCAUGAUAGUAGUAUGCGUACUAGUACUAUUGUAGGAGAGAGAGAGGGGAGAGAUUAAUCAAUGUGUUUUUGUGUGC
rnacentral:lncRNA from 1 species